rnacentral:lncRNA from 1 species
AACUUGGUCAAACAAACUGGGCACCCAAGGCCCCACUACAUCAGCAGGCAUGCAAAUCAUUGUCAUUGUCAGAGACUCAAAGCUGGCACUGCAGGUCGUCAACAAUCCGUCACCAACUCGUCCCUAGUAAAACGUUUCCUUUCGUCUCAUGACCUGUAAGGAUGCCUGUACAUAGGUUGGGGUUCUAAGUUCUUCGGUCUGGUCGUCUCCAAUUGAAGUUCCUGAGCAUCUCCUCCCGAAUUCUGACGGGCUGCCGCAUGGCAACGGGGCAUCGAGUUCGGGAGAGAGGCUACGCACUUCCUGGCAUUGAUGUAGAGUCUCAGUGGCCCGCCACAAGCCGAUCCUGGAACAUCGUCGGCGCUCAUGAGCACGAUGCUGACAAUGGCUCGGUGGAGGCGAGUCAUGGUUGGCUUGCAGGUCAGCUUCAGCCUUUGUGCAGGUUCCUGCCUCUGGCAAACACUACAAUCGCCAGUUUCAACAUUGCUUCCAAGAAUCUCUGAGUUGCUUCUUGCUGUCUUGAGUGUCCUGGAUUGUUUUGUGCAGGCGUCAUCCUUUUCU